UAGGAUAGAGGCCUACCACGGUGGUAACGGGUAACGGGGAAUUAGGGUUCGAUUCCGGAGAGGGAGCCUGAGAAACGGCUACCACAUCCAAGGAAGGCAGCAGGCGCGCAAAUUACCCAAUCCCGACACGGGGAGGUAGUGACAAUAAAUAACAAUACGGGGCUCUUUCGGGUCUCGUAAUUGGAAUGAGUACAAUUUAAAUCCCUUAACGAGGAACAAUUGGAGGGCAAGUCUGGUGCCAGCAGCCGCGGUAAUUCCAGCUCCAAUAGCGUAUAUUAAAGUUGUUGCAGUUAAAAAGCUCGUAGUUGAAUUUCGGGAUUGACACAUCGGUCGUGCCUUAAGGGGUAUGAACUGGUGUAGUCAAUUUCUCACCUUCUGGAGAACCGCGAUGCCCUUAAUUGGGUGUCGCGGGGAACCAGGACCUUUACUUUGAAAAAAUUAGAGUGUUUAAAGCAGGCAUUUUGCUUGAAUACAUUAGCAUGGAAUAAUAAAAUAGGACGGCAUGAUUCUAUUUUGUUGGUUUCUAGGAUCACCGUAAUGAUUAAUAGGGAUAGUUGGGGGCAUUAGUAUUCAAUUGUCAGAGGUGAAAUUCUUGGAUUUAUUGAAGACUAACUACUGCGAAAGCAUUUGCCAAGGAUGUUUUCAUUAAUCAAGAACGAAAGUUAGGGGAUCGAAGACGAUCAGAUACCGUCGUAGUCUUAACCAUAAACUAUGCCGACUAGGAAUCAGAC
rnacentral:rRNA from 1 species